CCUUCCACUAGAGGCUGUGGCUAUUGUGUCACAUGUUUGUCAGUAAGUGACAGAGAGGAGCAAGACUGUAUCUAUGCUCAGUGUUCUGUCCUGUGGACAUCUGAAUGAUUACUAGCCUACCACU
ensembl:snoRNA LOC120093991 small nucleolar RNA SNORA17